AUUUACUCUCUUGUAUGGGGGCAGAAAAAGAAACGCCCAAAUAAUUGCAUACACCUCUUCAGUGCCGCCAUGUUUCCCUCACACCAAAACAACGAACUGUCCUUCGAGAUUUCUUCUACUCCCUACCAGGAAAACACAAUUCCACAAGAUCUGAUCCUCAUUCUGCAGGGUCAUUCUACAGUGGAUGGCAUUGACCCAAGCAAGAAGAAUAAAAAGGGAAAAGACCAGCAGCGAAACCCAUGUUUUAGUCACAAGAAAGAUGAGAACUCUGCUGAAAGUAGUACCAAGAGGACCAUGCAUAGAGAGAUUGAGAGACGAAGAAGGCAAGAUAUGGCCACCCUUUACACUUCUCUUAGAAAUCUGCUACCUCUUGAAUAUAUCAAGGGAAAG
rnacentral:misc_RNA from 1 species